UUGGAGGGCAAGUCUGGUGCCAGCAGCCGCGGUAAUUCCAGCUCCAAUAGCGUAUAUUAAAGUUGUUGCAGUUAAAAAGCUCGUAGUUGAAUUUCGGGAUCAGUAAGUUGGUCGUGCCUCCGGUAUGUACUGGCCUUACUGGUUCCUCCUUCUUGAAGAACUGUAAUGUCAUUAAUUUGGUGUUGCAGGGAAACAGGACUGUUACUUUGAAAAAAUUAGAGUGUUUAAAGCAGGC
rnacentral:rRNA from 1 species